UGCAAGUCGAACGAGAAGGGAAGGACUUCGGUCCGACCUGGAGAGUGGCGAACGGGUGAGUAACACGUGAGUGACCUGCCCCGAGGUGGGGGACAACCGUGGGAAACCACGGCUAAUACCCCGUAGUCCUGUGCGCACUGGUCGCGUACAGGUAUAGCUCCGGCGCCUUGGGAGGGGCUCGCGGUCGAUUAGCUAGUUGGUGGGGUAACGGCCUACCAAGGCGACGAUCGAUAGCUGGUCUGAGAGGACGAUCAGCCACACUGGGACUGAGAUACGGCCCAGACUCCUACGGGGGGCAGCAGCAAGGAAUAUUGGACAAUGGGCGCAAGCCUGAUCCAGCAACGCCGCGUGGAGGAAGAAGGCUUCGGUUGUAAGCUCCUUUUGUGAGGGAUGAGACAAGGACAGUACCUCACGAAUAAGUCACGGCUAACUAGGUGCCAGCAGCCGCGGUAACACCUAGGUGACAAGCGUUAUCCGGAUUUACUGGGCGUAAAGGGCUCGCAGACGGCAGUUCAAGUCCGGCGUGAAAUCUCCUGGCUUAACCAGGAGGGGUUGUCGGAUACUGUUCUGCUAGAGGCAGUGAGAGGGGUGCGGAAUUCUCGGUGGAGUGGUGGAAUACGUAGAUAUCGAGAGGAACACCAGUGGCGAAAGCGGCGCCCUGGCACUGACCUGACGUUCAUGAGCGAAAGCGUGGGGAGCGAACGGGAUUAGAUACCCCGGUAGUCCACGCUGUAAACGAUGAGUACUAGGUGUAGGCGACAACCGUGGUCUGUGCCGAAGCUAACGCGAUAAGUACUCCGCCUGGGGACUACGGCCGCAAGGCUAAAACUCAAAGGAAUUGACGGG
rnacentral:rRNA from 1 species